GAUGAAGAACGUAGCGAAAUGCGAUAAGUAGUGUGAAUUGCAGAAUUCAGUGAAUCAUCGAAUCUUUGAACGCACAUUGCGCCCCUUGGUAUUCCAUGGGGCAUGCCUGUUCGAGCGUCAUUUGUACCUUCAAGCUUUGCUUGGUGUUGGGUGUUUGUCUCGCCUUUGCGUGUAGACUCGCCUUAAAAUAUUUGGCAGCCGGCGUAUUGAUUUCGGAGCGCAGUACAUCUCGCGCUUUGCACUCAUAACGACAGCGUCCAAAAGUACAUUUUACACUCUUGACCUCGGAUCAGGUAGGGAUACCCGCUGAACUUAAGCAUAUCAAUAAGCGGAGGA
rnacentral:misc_RNA from 1 species